UACGUAGGCAGCGAGCGUUGUUCGGAGUUACUGGGCGUAAAGGGUGUGUAGGCGGUUGUUUUAAGUUUGGUGUGAAAUCUCCCGGCUCAACUGGGAGGGUGCGCCGAAUACUGAGCGACUAGAGUGCGGGAGAGGAAAGUGGAAUUCCUGGUGUAGCGGUGAAAUGCGUAGAUAUUGGGAGGAACACCAGUGGCGAAGGCGGUCCCCUGGGCCGGAACUGACGCUGAGGCGCGAAAGCGUGGGUAGCAAACGGG
rnacentral:rRNA from 1 species